AGUGCGAGUUAUUUAACAUUUUCGAUAGCGUAAAAGUUAGUUCAUAUUUGUAUGGAAUGGGACCGUUUGCCGCUAGAGGCGCUGUUCCAGCUGCAUACAAAAUUGGGCUAAUUUUUACGCUAUCGAGAACGUUAAAAAACUCGCACUAA